AGGCAGCAGUUAGGAAUAUUGGACAAUGCUCGCAAGAGUGAUCCAGCCAUGCCGCGUGCAGGAAGACGGCCCUAUGGGUUGUAAACUGCUUUUGAACUAGAGAAAACCCUCCUACGUGUAGGAGGCUGAUAGUAUAGCUAGAAUAAGCAUCGGCUAACUUCGUGCCAGCAGCCGCGGUAAGACGAAGGAUGCAAGCGUUAUCCGGAUUCAUUGGGUUUAAAGGGAGCGUAGGUGGACUGAUAAGUCAGUGGUGAAAUCUCUCGGCUUAACCGAGAAAUUGCCAUUGAUACUGUUGGUCUUGAGUACAGUUGCUGUGGGCGGAGUAUGACAUGUAGUGGUGAAAUACAUAGAGAUGUCAUAGAACACCGAUUGCGAAGGCAGCUCACAAAGCUGUAACUGACACUGAGGCUCGAAAGUGCGGGGAUCAAACAGGAUUAGAUACCCUAGUAGUCC
rnacentral:rRNA from 1 species